UACGUAGGGUGCAAGCGUUAAUCGGAAUUACUGGGCGUAAAGCGUGCGCAGGCGGUUUUGUAAGUCUGUCGUGAAAUCCCCGGGCUCAACCUGGGAAUUGCGAUGGAGACUGCAAGGCUAGAAUCUGGCAGAGGGGGGUAGAAUUCCACGUGUAGCAGUGAAAUGCGUAGAGAUGUGGAGGAACACCGAUGGCGAAGGCAGCCCCCUGGGUCAAGAUUGACGCUCAUGCAACGAAAGCGUGGGGAGCAAACAGG
rnacentral:rRNA from 1 species